UGGGGAAUAUUGGACAAUGGGCGAAAGCCUGAUCCAGCCAUGUCGCGUGUGUGAAGAAGGUCUUCGGAUUGUAAAGCACUUUAAGUUGGGAGGAAGGGCAGUAAGCGAAUACCUUGCUGCUUUGACGUUACCGACAGAAUAAGCACCGGCUAACUCUGUGCCAGCAGCCGCGGUAAUACAGAGGGUGCAAGCGUUAAUCGGAAUUACUGGGCGUAAAGCGCGCGUAGGUGGUUCGUUAAGUUGAAUGUGAAAGCCCCGGGCUCAACCUGGGAACUGCAUCCAAAACUGGCGGGCUAGAGUAGUGCAGAGGGUGGUGGAAUUUCCUGUGUAGCGGUGAAAUGCGUAGAUAUAGGAAGGAACACCAGUGGCGAAGGCGACCACCUGGGCUCAUACUGACACUGAGGUGCGAAAGCGUGGGGAGCAAACAGG
rnacentral:rRNA from 1 species